rnacentral:rRNA from 1 species
UGGCUCACCAAAGGCGACGAUGCGUAGCCGACCUGAGAGGGUGAUCGGCCACAUUGGGACUGAGACACGGCCCAGACUCCUACGGGAGGCAGCAUG